AGUGAACGCUGGCGGCAGGCCUAACACAUGCAAGUCGAGCGGCAGCGCGUCCGACCACCCUCGGGUGGUCGGAUGGCGGCGAGCGGCGGACGGGUGAGGAAUGCAUCGGAAUCUGCCUCGUUGUGGGGGAUAACGUAGGGAAACUUACGCUAAUACCGCAUACGACCUACGGGUGAAAGUGGGGGACCUUCGGGCCUCACGCGAUGAGAUGAGCCGAUGCCGGAUUAGCUAGUUGGCGGGGUAAAGGCCCAUCAAGGCGACGAUCCGUAGCUGGUCUGAGAGGAUGAUCAGCCACACUGGAACUGAGACACGGUCCAGACUCCUACGGGAGGCAGCAGUGGGGAAUAUUGGACAAUGGGGGCAACCCUGAUCCAGCCAUGCCGCGUGUGUGAAGAAGGCCU
rnacentral:rRNA from 1 species